GAGUUUGAUCCUGGCUCAGGAUGAACGCUGGCGGUGUGCCUAACACAUGCAAGUCGAACGAAGCACCUUACCGGAUUCUUCGGAUGAAAGUUUGGUGACUGAGUGGCGGACGGGUGAGUAACGCGUGGGUAACCUGCCCUGUACAGGGGGAUAACAGCUGGAAACGGCUGCUAAUACCGCAUAAGCGCACGAGGAGACAUCUCCUUGUGUGAAAAACUCCGGUGGUACAGGAUGGGCCCGCGUCUGAUUAGCUGGUUGGCAGGGUAACGGCCUACCAAGGCAACGAUCAGUAGCCGGUCUGAGAGGAUGAACGGCCACAUUGGAACUGAGACACGGUCCAAACUCCUACGGGAGGCAGCAGUGGGGAAUAUUGCACAAUGGGGGAAACCCUGAUGCAGCGACGCCGCGUGAGCGAUGAAGUAUUUCGGUAUGUAAAGCUCUAUCAGCAGGGAAGAAAAUGACGGUACCUGACUAAGAAGCACCGGCUAAAUACGUGCCAGCAGCCGCGGUAAUAC
rnacentral:rRNA from 1 species